GAUGAACGCUGGCGGCGUGCCUAAUACAUGCAAGUCGAGCGCAGCGGGGGCGGGUGAGGAACGGGUAGAUAAACUCCUAAAACACUGGGACAACGUCGGGAAACCGGUGCUAAACCGGAUACUUAGGGAUGGAUGCUCGUUGCAUUAGCUAGUUGGUAAGGUAACGGCUUACCAAGGCAACGAUGCAUAGCCGACCUGAGAGGGUGAUCGGCCACACUGGAACUGAGACACGGUCCAGACUCCUACGGGAGGCAGCAGUAGGGAAUCUUCCGCAAUGGGCGAAAGCCUGACAGAGCAACGCCGCGUGAGUGAUGAAGGUCUUCGGAUCGUAAAACUCUGUUAUUAGGGAAGCGGUACCUAACCAGAAAGCCACGGCUAACUACGUGCCAGCAGCCGCGGUAAUUC
rnacentral:rRNA from 1 species